CACAUGCAAGUCGAGGGGUAACAGGGUAGGCAAUACCGCUGACGACCGGCGCACGGGUGAGUAACGCGUAUGCAACCUGCCUAUAACUGGGGAAUAGCUCCCUGAAAGGGGGAAUUAACACCGCAUAACACUAUUGAUUCGCAUGGAUUAGUAGUUAAAUGUAGCGAUACAGGUUAUAGAUGGGCAUGCGUGACAUUAGCUAGUUGGUGAGGUAACGGCUCACCAAGGCUACGAUGUCUAGGGGUUCUGAGAGGAAGGUCCCCCCACACUGGUACUGAGACACGGACCAGACUCCUACGGGAGGCAGCAGUGAGGAAUAUUGGUCAAUGGGCGCAAGCCUGAACCAGCCAUGUCGCGUGCAGGAAGAACCUGCCCUAUGGGUUGUAAACUGCUUUUAUAGUAGAAGAAACACAUCUACGUGUAGAUGUCUGCCAGUAUACUAUGAAUAAGCAUCGGCUAACUCCGUGCCAGCCGCCGC
rnacentral:rRNA from 1 species